CCCCUAGUAACGGCGAGUGAAGAGGGAAAAGCUCAAAUUUUGAAUCUGGCGCCUUUGGCUCCCGAGUUGUAAUCUAGAGAAGUGUCUUCCGCAUCGGACCGUGUACAAGUUCCCUGGAACGGGACGUCAUAGAGGGUGAGAAUCCCGUACAUGCCACGGACUACCUUUGCUCUGUGAUACACUCUCAACGAGUCGAGUUGUUUGGGAAUGCAGCUCAAAAUGGGUGGUAAAUUCCAUCUAAAGCUAAAUAUUGGCGAGAGACCGAUAGCGAACAAGUACCGUGAGGGAAAGAUGAAAAGCACUUUGGAAAGAGAGUGAAACAGUACGUGAAAUUGUUGAAAGGGAAGCGUUUGGAGUCAGUCGCGUCUGGCGGGAUUCAGCCUUGCUUCUGCUUGGUGUAUUUCCUGUCCGACGGGUCAGUGUCGAUUUCGACUGAGGGAAAAAGGCUUGGGGAAUGUGGCCAUCUUCGGGUGGUGUUAUAGCCCCUUGUUGUAUGUCUCAGUUGGGAUCGAGGUCAGCAGCGCGCCUUUUGGCCGGGGUUCGCGCCCUCGGUACGCGCUUAGGACACUGGCAUAAUGGCUUUAAGCGACCCGUCUUGAAACACGGACCAAGGAGUCUAACAUGUGCGCGAGUGUUUGGGUGUCAAACCCGGACGCGUAAUGAAAGUGAAAGGUCGGGAACAUGUACUUGUGCACCGACGCCCGGAGCAGACCUACUGUGACGCAUCCGCGGUAGAGCGUACACGUUGGGACCCGAAAGAUGGUGAACUAUGCCUGAAUAGGGUGAAGCCAGAGGAAACUCUGGUGGAGGCUCGUAGCGAUUCUGACGUGCAAAUCGAUCGUCAAAUUUGGGUAUAGGGGCGAAAGACUAAUCGAACCAUCUAGUAGCUGG
rnacentral:rRNA from 1 species